rnacentral:rRNA from 1 species
GGGGAAUUUUGGACAAUGGGGGCAACCCUGAUCCAGCCAUUCCGCGUGAGUGAAGAAGGCCUUCGGGUUGUAAAGCUCUUUCAGCUGGAACGAAACGGUGCGCUCUAACAUAGCGCGCUACUGACGGUACCAGCAGAAGAAGCACCGGCUAACUACGUGCCAGCAGCCGCGGUAAUACGUAGGGUGCGAGCGUUAAUCGGAAUUACUGGGCGUAAAGCGUGCGCAGGCGGAUUGUUAAGCAAGACGUGAAAUCCCCGGGCUUAACCUGGGAAUGGCGUUUUGAACUGGCAGUCUAGAGUGCGUCAGAGGGGGGUGGAAUUCCACGUGUAGCAGUGAAAUGCGUAGAGAUGUGGAGGAACACCGAUGGCGAAGGCAGCCCCCUGGGAUGACACUGACGCUCAUGUACGAAAGCGUGGGUAGCAAACA